rnacentral:rRNA from 1 species
AAUGGGCGAAAGCCUGACGCAGCGACGCCGCGUGAGGGAUGAAGGUUUUCGGAUCGUAAACCUCUGUCAGAAGGGAAGAAACUACGUUGUGCUAAUCAGCAGCGUACUGACGGUACCUUCAAAGGAAGCACCGGCUAACUCCGUGCCAGCAGCCGCGGUAAUACGGAGGGUGCAAGCGUUAAUCGGAAUUACUGGGCGUAAAGCGCACGUAGGCUGUAGUGUAAGUCAGGGGUGAAAUCCCACGGCUCAACCGUGGAACUGCCUUUGAUACUGCACAACUUGAAUCCGGGAGAGGGUGGCGGAAUUCCAGGUGUAGGAGUGAAAUCCGUAGAUAUCUGGAGGAACAUCAGUGGCGAAGGCGGCCACCUGGACCGGUAUUGACGCUGAGGUGCGAAAGCGUGGGGAGCAAA